GUCUCGGGUGCAGAUCACUAAAGAAGUCCGGAAGGGAAGUAAAUGAAGUUUCACUGAAUCAAUCUCUCUGUGGUUGUGUUUCUGCCUCUCCCGAGUGGUUCCUAUCAAGCAACAGUAUCUGAAACUCCACUGCAGAAACAGAGAUUCUCGUUCUCUUCGCGUUCUCACACGCACCCAUCUUGUACGCCCUUUCGCGUUCAACAACCAGUCAACCCCAAAACAUCAUCCAACUUCUGCGCGCUCUCUCUCUCUCUCGCACACACGCGAACACAAACUCCGUUCUUAAAUUCGCUAGAGAUCACACAAGCACAGCACUCUCUCGGCCUUCGCGGAAAACAAGAAAAGAAAUCAUCGACUUCAAUUACAUAGCGACGGCAGCGGCGGCGGCGGCGGCGGCGGCGGCGAGGAACUCGGAAUGUUGUUCGAGAACGGCGGGGGUGGUCUGAGGGGGCUGAGGCCACUGGUUCACCUGCUGAUCCCGCUCUGCGUCCACUGGACCGCCCACGAAAUGACGGUGUCGGUGCUCGUCGACGUCCUGAUCGACGCUCUGUGCCCCGGCGACACCACUUGCUCCGAAGUCAUCUACUUCAAUGGCCUCGAACAGACGAUCGUUGGAGUUUUCAGGAUGUUUUCAAUCCCGAUCCUCGGUCAGCUUGCAGACGAGUAUGGACGAAAACCGGUGCUCCUUGUAAUCAUAUCAACGUCCGUAUUUCCCUUUGCUAUGCUGGCCUGGAAUCAGUCAAGGGGAUUUGUAUAUGCCUAUUAUGUGCUCAGAACUAUAUCGAACAUUCUCAGUCAGGGCAGUAUAUUAUGUGUUUCCAUUACUUAUGCGGCAGAUGUCGUUGAACCCGGUAAGAGGGCUUUCGCGUUUAGCUGGAUUACAGGUCUUCUUUCUGCUUCUCAUGUCCUGGGAAACUUGUUAGCACGUUUUCUCCCAGAGAAGUACAUAUUUGAUAUUUCAAUAGCUCUCUUGCUCUGUCCCCCGAUAUAUAUCUACGUGUUUCUGUGUGAGACAGUUGAGUAUGCCCCAAGGCAGGACGAAGAGUCAACAUGGUCGACUAGGAUUUUUAGGGGUGUAUCCAAACGGUACAGGUCAAUGAGAGAUGCUGCUAUAAUAGUCAUAAGGAGUCAAACGCUCAGAGGCAUCUCCAUUGUUUCCUUCUUCUACGAGUUGGGAAUGACUGGCAUCAGCAACGUAUUACUAUACUAUCUGGAGGCAGCUUUCGGUUUUACUAAGAAUCAGUUUUCGGAGAUUCUAAUAGUGGUGGAAGCAGGUUCAAUAGUUUCACAGAUCUUGGUUCUCCCUCUUGUAAAUCCUUGGGUUGGAGAAAAAGUAAUACUCUGUGUAGGCUUACUUGCAUCAAUUGCUUAUGCAUUGUUCUAUGGCUUGGCUUGGGCAUCAUGGGUGGCAUACUUAAGUGCCUCUUUUGGAGUUAUUUAUGCCCUUGUUGAUCCUGCUACCUAUGCCAUAAUUUCAAAAGCAUCAAGCUCGGCCGAUCAGGUUAGCAUGGAUAUUCCGUUAUCUAUUCUGCUUUUUAUGCACCGUACAUCAUGGACUUGUGGUUACUGCCAAACUCUGCAACCCAAGGAUGUUGACUUUGAUCCCUCCAUGACAUCUGUUUCUGAGAAUACAAACCGAAGAUUCAGAUAUGCAUGUGUUAGCAUAACAAAAGAGUUUGUUAUUGCUAUGGCGAUGGUCAGAGGGAAAGGCGCAAGGACUCAUAGUUGGUAUAAAAGCAAUAGCCAGUUUUUUAUCGCCCCUUGCCAUGAGUCCCUUGACUGCUUGGUUCCUAUCAGAUAAUGCCCCCUUCAACUGCAAGGGCUUUAGCAUUGUAUGUGCCUCUGUAUGCAUGGUUCUGUCUUUCGCGUACGCUUGUCUGCUUAAACCAGAAGAUUGGUCAAGCCAGAACUCAGAUCAGGACAACAUAGAUGACCAAGAAGCACCAUUACUUGGCAGCAGUACUGGAUAAAUUACAAAUCAUCUAAUUUUCAUGUAGUCAUGAAAUUUGACCGAGGGUGUCGUGGUUGCAUGUACCUCGGAUAAGCUCUUGGAGAAGUAAUUCUGUUUUCGAGGAGUUGCAUCUGACAAAGUUGUAAAUAUAGGAGAGUUUGGGAGCUGAUUCUUAGAUAAGCAGCUUAAGGUUACUUCUCCAGCCUUUGCCCGUAGGAGGUCUUGCUAUGAAAUUUCACUUUAUCAAAUGUAUCGAUAAUGUAUUUCCUCGUUAUUGUAUUAAUUAUAACAAUCAGCAGUCCAGCUAACUGCUAAAUUUUACUAUAUCUUGAAGGCCAUCAGAUAACUUAAUUAAAGUCAAA